rnacentral:misc_RNA from 1 species
CACGAACUGUGCAAACGUUAUUCGGAAUCACUGGGCUUAAAGAGUCCGUAGGCGGCUCGGUAGGUGAGGUGUGAAAUCCCACGGCUCAACCGUGGAAUUGCGCUUCAAACCAUCGAGCUUGAGGGAGAUAGAGGAGAGCGGAACUGAUGGUGGAGCGGUGAAAUGCGUUGAUAUCAUCAGGAACACCGGUGGCGAAAGCGGCUCUCUGGGUCUCUUCUGACGCUGAGGGACGAAAGCUAGGGGAGCGAACGGG